UACGUAGGGGGGCAAGCGUUUGUCCGGAAUUAUUGGGCGUAAAGAGCGUGUAGGCGGUCCGGUAAGUCGGCUGUGAAAGUCCAGGGCUCAACCCUGGGAUGCCGGUCGAUACUGCCGGACUAGAGUUCGGAAGAGGCGAGUGGAAUUCCCCGGUGUAGCGGUGAAAUGCGCAGAUAUCGGGAGGAACACCUAUGGCGAAGGCAGCUCGCUGGGACGUUACUGACGCUGGAGACGCGAAAGCGUGGGGAGCAAACAGG
rnacentral:rRNA from 1 species